GACGAACGCUGGCGGCGUGCUUAACACAUGCAAGUCGAACGGAAAGGCCCUGCUUUUGUGGGGUGCUCGAGUGGCGAACGGGUGAGUAACACGUGAGUAACCUGCCCUUGACUUUGGGAUAACUUCAGGAAACUGGGGCUAAUACCCGAUAGGAGCUCCUGCUGCAUGGUGGGGGUUGGAAAGUUUCGGCGGUUGGGGAUGGACUGGCGGCUUAUCAGCUUGUUGGUGGGGUAGUGGCUUACCAAGGCUUUGACGGGUAGGCGGCCUGAGAGGGUGACCGGCCACAUUGGGACUGAGAUACGGCCCAGACUCCUACGGGAGGCAGCAGUGGGGAAUAUUGCACAAUGGGCGGAAGCCUGAUGCAGCAGCGCCGCGUGCGGGAUGACGGCCUUCGGGUUGUAAACCGCUUUCGCCUGUGACGAAGCGUGAGUGACGGUAAUGGGUAAAGAAGCACCGGCUAACUACGUG
rnacentral:rRNA from 1 species